rnacentral:lncRNA from 1 species
ACUGAGAACAUGCAUUGCCACUGUUCCCUUCUUGGCAUCUUGCAGCUUUUGCUUGAUCUUACGACUAGCGGCAGUGACACGGCUCUUAAAGAUGUCGACAGUGACAAGCACUAAGUCACGGAGGUCCUUAGCCUCAGCACUUCGAUUGUCCGACUGAAGGGUGGACAAGCAGAAUUCUUGCGUGAUAGAUUUGUUGUAGGGGUUGUUGAUCGAGGCCUUCUUGCAUGUUUCCACCAUGAGCUUGGUCGCCUUGGGCUUGCCAGUGUCAGAGCCACUAGCAUGAGCGGAAAAAAGGAAGAAGAUGAUGGUGGAGAGGACGAUGGUAGUCCUUGGCAUUGCUACCAUUACUACAGGGCUAGCUAGAAGCCUUGAAGUACUGAAGCGCUGAGAGGGAGGUGGAGAAAAAUAGACAGAGAAGGAUGUGUAUUGCAGAGAUGGAUGGGUGGAUGGAGGUGAUGUACAUGAGGCUGAGAAUUCUUUAUAAUGCCUGCAAUGGGGUAUCAUAAAUGCAGUAUGCAGCUUUGGUCCAGAAUAUGUGUACUAUCGGUGUCCAGUAAAUGUUGAAUGCCCAUUUUGGAUCCCUACAUAUUAAUGCUCUCUCUAUGUUCCACAAAUACACAGAUGCUCACUAUAGAUCGUGUUGUAGUAACACAUAUCUUACUUAUAUGAAUCCAUUAAUGCAACGUAGCUUGAUCAAGGAUAUCCCAAAUGAUUAGUGUGCACCGAAUGCCCAUAGAUAUGUUGAUGCUCAUUUUGGUACGUCUUAUUUGCAUUGGUGUUUUCUAAACAUCAUUUUGUAUAACUGAUUUGUUACUUCUACCUCCCUUUGGGGGACGAUUAUAUUUUCCCUCAUCAAGUCUAUAAUUGCUCAUUUUUUCUUUGCAAUUUUCGAGUAGUUACAAAUAAUUCUCAGGGAGCAGGCACUUAGUUAACUUGGUGACACAAUAAAUAUUUUUGUUAAAAUAUCAAAAUUUUAUAUUUUAAAUUUUUUUAUUUCCAAGUCGAUUAUUGUCUGAUGGGUUGACUUUUACAACAGUUGUAUUCCCCCAGUUAAAAAUCACAACUUAUUUUAGGGAUUAAAUGAUGCCAGCCGGACUAACGUAUCGUUCGUAGGCACUGUCAAAAAAUAAGCAUGUUUACUGCCCACCGCCUAAGAAAAUCAAAACAAAAAUUACCAAUACCAACACGUCACAGUAUGGGUUUAUUCGGUUUCGAUUCUCGUUACUACGUAGUAGGAAGGAAAAAAAAGAGCUAGCGAUCAUAAGGAGGUAACCUGUAUCAUAGGUACAUGAUGCGCACGUACACGCCGGUAUCUUAUAUUUUAUAUUUUAUAUCUUAUAUUUACUAAUUGGAAGCACCUUUCAAGUCUUCUCAUUAAUCAACAUUAUAAAAAUUAAAUACACCGUUGUAGUAUAGAAUUUACGUCUAAGAUGAAAGGAGAACUUACGUAACAUAAACUUGGAAGGGAAAAAGAUAUAGGGAAAGGAGAAUAAAAAUAGAAGUAAAACAAAGAAAAUAAUUUAGAUGGGCCAGCCCAUUAUUGUUUGCCUUGUGCGAAAUUCUGACUAUUUAUGGCGCUGUGCGGAAAAUAGAGUUUUUCCAGCUGCAUGGGCAGAAAAAUAAGUGGGCUGGCUUUGCUGGGCCACCGCGCGUGGCCCACGUACAACAAUUCUUUUUCUAGCAAACAAACGCAUAAGACCUUUGUACCACCUCGGGUAGAAAGAUUGUUUUUUCGACGGUGAACGGAUGAAAAUAUAGGCAAAACGCACCUUGCUUCAUUAGUAGUAGCACAUAUGCCCGUGCAUUGCAACGGGAGAGAUGUUUCUUUGGAGAAGCAAUGGGAGAGAUAAUUGAUGUCUCCACCAAAAAUGAUCUCCAUAACGGUGCGGUUAGUCGGCAUAGCGGCAACCAUACAACUCGUGCAUUUUUUUCCUUUGGGUCAGUCUCUGUCUCGGGGUUGUGUCUGCCUCUACGUUUGGUAGCUAUGCGGCGACCUUUAGAGCACGGUUGCUUCGACCACUCUCUCUUACGAUGGCGUAACCGGAUGAAUUACUAAUUGUAGCGCUUAAAUCCUGUUUCAUUAGCAUAUAUAUUUAGCGCAUAACCAGAUAUCAAUGUCCCUUCUUUAUUAGGGUUUAUUUUCUUUGAUUAUUUUAGGGCUCACGUGCCCACAACUAUUUUAUUCGAGCCAAACCAACAUAUUCUCUUUUAUUGGACCAAGAAAAAAUUGCUCCCUCAGACGACCCAGUAGGGAGUGUGGUUGAGGCCCAAUACAGCCUAUGCGUCGGAGCAAUGUUUUUCUUGGGCCAAGUAUGUGGGGGCUACUAUAUGACGCUAGUUGCGUAAAAUAACGUGUGAGAUGCACAUCAGUUCGUGUAUGGACCAACACACUGGUAGGCGCCAAGACGACCUAUGUUAGGAAGGCACGGAAAAAUCCAAAAAAUAAUGAGUUGAAGGAUCAAAAUCAUGUCCUGAAAGACCCGACUACGUGCUCAUAGCCACUCGAAGAAACGAGUCCUACCAACCAAUGGCCAGCUCAAACCUUUAAUAUCAUACUCCAAUGUGAGAUUGGAUACAAUUUUUUUAACUGUUUAAAACAUAUAAAUUGCUGAAUAUUCCUGAAAACAUGAAUAAUUUUUAAAAUCAUAAACACUUUUUGAAAUUCUUUACAUUUUCAGAAAUACACAACAAAAUUGGAAACCCUCAAAAUUCACAAAUUUAUUUGAAAUCAUAAACCUUUUAUAAUAACGUGAACACGUUUUGAAAAUGCGAUUUCGUUUGAAAAAGAAACAUAUUUUGAACAUUCAAAACAAUUUUUGAAAAUGUGUUUCUAUAAACUUGGACAUUACUUUGAAUUUGCGAACACUUCACUAAAACAAAAAUAUUUUUCAUAUUUGGAACAUUUUCUAAAUGCAUUUUUUUUGGGAAAAUCUCAAACAACUUUGGAAAACACAAAGAAAAAAUGGAACAUUUUUUGAAACCUGAACAAAUUUUGGAAUGAGAACAAAGCACUACUGGGAAGAGGCUAAUUAGUGGCGUACAUAUUUUUGCUAUUAAUGACGCACUAUAGGUGCGCCACUAUUACCACGCCACUAGUAACAAAUAGUAAUAGCGCACCAUUACUAUCACAGAUAGUAAUGGCGCACCUAUAGUGCGCCAUUACUAUGCCUAGAAGGUGCGCCAUUACUAUCUGACUUAGUAAUGGCGCACCACAUAGAAGUGCGUCAUUACUAACAAAAUUUUUUCAUAAAAAAAAUUUCUAAAUUUUUUUCAUAUAUUUUUUCCCUUUUUUUCUUAAUCUCAGGUCAAUAUGCUUAAUCUCAAGUCAAAUCGCACUCCGUGGUCAAACUUGCCGGAAGGUCACCCAUCCUCACACUACUCCGGCCCGAGCACGCUUAACUUCGCAGUUCUAUCCAACCCCAGCACCAGCUUACUUAACAUGCACUUGUUGAUAUAUAUCUAUCAUAUCGAUCCUAUUAAACCUUGUUGAUGUCUAGAACUUUAUUCAUGUUCAUGAGUGUGAUGAAAUUUCAAACUUCCCGGUCCUAUUACGUAUCAUAUUUUGAAAAAAAAUUGAAACCAAUUUUUUUUCUGUUACUAGUGGCGCACCUAGCAAAUGGUGCGCCACUAGCAAGUUUGAUUUUUUUUCUUUUCCCCACUCUAGAUCUUAAAAGCCUCGUAUCUUUCAUUCUGUUAGGUUUUUCGGGAUUCUGAAAAUCUUGUAACUUUUUGAGUAGAUGCUUUUUCAUAUAUAAAACUUUUUAAUCCGAGUUCGUAUGUAAAAGUUAUGCCCAUUUUACUAAAUUCCAGAGAGAUUUUUUAAAUAAAGUCGAAAUUCAUAUUUGUAAAUUUUCCAACAACUAGACCACAUAUCACAUGGGAAAUUUAUUUCCUUUUUUUUUUGACAUUUCCAUCAUUUUCUUUUAUUUUUUCUAAAACUGAAACGGCGGUCCAGAGGGGUGGGGGUGCAAAGAAAGUAAGUAAUGACACACCUUCACAAAGUGCACCAUUAUUAUGUGUAUGACUUGGUCAAACCUUGGUCAAAGAUAGUAAUGGCACACUUUGUGUAGGUGCGUCAUUACUAAGUUUGACAUAGUAAUGGCGCACCUAUGCAAAGUGCGUCAUUACUAAGUUUGAUCAAGGUUUGACCCAGUCAUACACAUAGUAAUGAUGCACUUUGUACAGGUGCGCCAUUACUAUGUCAACUAGUAAUGACGCACUAUCCUCUAGUGCGCCACUGCUAACAAUUUUUUUAUUUUUUUCUUCAAAACUAGUACUAGCGCACCACACACCAGGUGCACCACUAGUAAUAUAUCAAUAAUGACGCACCUGUAUCUGGUGCGCCACUGCAUACAUGGUGCGCCAUUAAUGUCCAAAUUAGCUAUAGCCCUUUUCCUAAUAGUGAAGAUUUAAUGUUCUGAACAUUUUUUGAAAAGGAAUAUAUAUUAAAAUCCCAAACAUUUAAAAAAACGGAUUUGUGUGAUAUUAUGAGUUUUAUUGAAAAUUUUGGUUUUAUGAAUAAAGGGGAGAUAGAGAAAUAAACUUGAAAGGAAAAAAGAAAAAAGAAAAGGAAAGAAAAUAGAAACCAAUGGAGAAAGAAAAGUAGAAACAUAACAUAGAACAAAAAGAAAUGGUUCAACCAAGCUCGAGCGCCUUAUGCGAAUUUGUGACUAUUUUGGAAUGAGAACAAAUAUUUAUAUUAUAAACUUUUUCAAAAAAGAAUAUAUUUAAAGUUCUGAACAUUUUUUUAGAAAAUUGAUUCUUAUGAUAUUAUGAAUGUUUUGAAAAUUUUGAAUUUACAAAAAAAUGGGAGAAAAAUAAACUUGAAAGGAGAAAACACCAAAGAAAAAGUGAAAGAAAUGGAAAAAGAAAAAUAGAAACAUAUUUUAAAGUUCUGAGCAUUUAAAAAAGUCGAUUUUUUAUGAUAUUAUGUAGUUUUUUGACAAUUUUGAAUUUACGAAAAAAGGAGAAAAAGGUAAACUCGAAAGGGAAAAAGACCAAACAAAAGGAGAAAGAAACGGAAAAAGAAAAACAGAAACAUAACACAAAACAAAAAAAGAAUAUAUUUCAGCCCAGCUUGGGCGCCCAGUGCGAAUUUACGACUAUGUAACGCUAAUUGCGAUAAAUAGGGUUUUUCCACCUGCAUGUACACAAAAAUAACUGGGCUGGAUUUCGUGGGCCAAUACUGUGGGCGGCCCAUGUACGAGAUCUGGCGUUUUUCUUUUCUAAUAGACAAACGGACAAAAAAAUUGUACCACCUCGAAUAGAAAAAAAAUCUUUUCAUUGGUGAACGGAUGAAAAAAUCAGAGAAACACACCUUGCUUUAUUAGUAGGUAUAGAGGUAUAGAUAUAGAUAUAGAUAUAGAUAUAGAUAUAGAUAUAGAUAGUAUGGAUAGAAAAAUGAAAUUUUCCAUCCAUGCUAAUCAUAACAUAAAUUGUUUAAGAAUUCGUUGGUACACAUAAAAACAUCUAAUGUGAAUAAUCUAUGGUUCUUAUAGUAUUUGCUAGGAUAUCAUGUAUGUUAACGGAAAGUCAUGCAUGCAUGUGUCCAUUAUUGUGUAUAGAAACAAAGUAUUUAUAAUUCUACCAUUCUUUCGUGGCAAAAACAAGCAUGUAUUCCUUCUUUUAGGUUAACUAAGAAAGGCUACAAUAGAACACUCGACCUUUGUGCCUUUUAGAAACUUCUAGAUCACGAGUGCAUGAUGCACACAAUAACUUUUGCGUUUGUAACCAUGUUUUCUACCAACAUAAAAAAUAUACCCUUAUAUAACCUUCAUAAAGUAGCACAUUCUUAUUUCCACAUAUCUUCUAUAAAUUUGACGUGAUUUUCCAUCACACAGCGAUAUUUUUAUACUUUCGUCACAAAAUUGGACAUAAACAAUCAAUCACAAAAUAGUCAAAGAAAUGUAACUUCAUUGGAUCCAAUGUGCAUGUGUAAUAAUAAUAACCUAUAUCCAAAUGAUUGUUUGAUAUUUAUAAUUUGUCAAAAAUAUGUUAUAUCUGAUAUUACAAUUGCUAGCCCGUGCAGGUGCACGGAUUGACGACUAGUGAUAUGUAGAUAGAAUUAAUUAUGAUUACCAUUCAAUAAUUUUUCUUUAUGGAUAUCCAAAUUUAUGUUUAGAAUCAACAUUUCUACAUCAAUUUUUUCCGGGGAUUUUUUUUACUUAGUAAACAUAUGGAUAUUUAGAAAAAAUUUGUGCUAAUUGUGUGCUCUCCUUAGCCUAUGUUACAAUGCAUGGUUUUCUCGGUUAUUUUAGAAAAUGCAUGUAUUUCUCUAUUGCCAACUUCUCACAGAUGCAGUUAAGUUUCGUAAAAGUUUAGAAUGGCAGCCAACACGAAAAAGGAUAAAAGUAUCAUCAUUUGCACAUUUUUUCACCUUCUUCACUAUCUAUAUUUAUAAGGAUAUUCACUUUGCGAUUUAUGUUUUCCCAAUUUGCUACAAAAGCGCAGAACGAACAUUUUAGAAAAUAAAUGCAAAAUGUGUAAAAUAAAAUGUGUAGGUACAUAAUUAAAAAUCUUGGACGACGAUAACUGCCACACGUGUGGCAUCUAGGGGGUAUGUGCCGCACGCCCCGUGUGGCAUCGACACAGGCCCGCCCGCACGAGCACGUCCGCGCGCACCCCACCACAGCCCGCACGUUCGGUGUGUGGCGCAAUCGCCCGCACUAGCACGUCCGGGCGAGCGACCUCACGGCCCGCACGACCCGUCUCGGCCCUCGCCCCUCCCCGCCUGCGAGCCACACGCCCCGCGUGGCAGUAACCACGCGUCCCGCCGUGAUUGCCAUGGUCCGAACCCUCUUCCAUGUUCGUUUAACUGUAGUUGCCAUGUUGCUGAACUGCAGUUGCCAUGUCUGACAACUACAGUUGCCAUGGUUGCUCAACUGCAGUUGCCAUCUCAGGUCAAGUGUCGGAUGCCAUUUUUGGGCAACUGUAGUUGUUGCCAUGUAUGAUCUGGUCUACUAUAGAUGCCAUGAUUUGAAAACUUUAGGAUUUGCCGCCUACUAACACUAGACAGUUGCCAUGUAGCACUACAAAAACAUGGCAAAAAACAUGUUCGGGUAAAAGAGAGAGUUGCCAUCUGCUUACAAGCACACUAGGGCAGUUACCAUGUACCCUGCAAAAACACAUGGCAAUUGAUAGCUUUUGGUGUGUGGGAGAGGAGACGGGCAUGUGGGCGACGGUGGUAUCUUUAGGAGUUGCCACCUACUAACACUAGACAGUUGCCAUGUAGCGCUACAAAACAGACGUGUCAACAAUAACAUGUUCGGGGUAAAGAGAGUUGCCAUCUGCUUAUAAUCACAAAUAGGGCAGUUGCCACGUACUAGCACUGGACAGUUGCCAUUUAGCGCUACAAAAACAGACGUGGCAACAAUAACAUGUUCAGGGUAAAGAGAGUUGCCAUCUGCUUACAAUCACAAAUAGGGCAGUUGUCAUGUACCUUGCAGAAAACAUGGCAAAUGACAACUUGGUUUGGGAGAGUGGGAAAAAGGGCAGUCAUGGGAGAUGGGGAACAGAAGUCGUGCGCGGCGUGCGGGCGCGACAGCAGUUCCACCGCACGCCCCGACUCGCAACCGGUCUCGUCCGAGGGAGAAACAGCAUGCGGGCGAACUACCUACACACCACACACCGGGCUUGUCCUACGUGGCACACCAAAUCCAUCUUUUGGUGUCAGGAUUCGUGCAAAAAAUAACCAACGACAAUCCAGGCGUGUGGGCGAGUUGAAGACGUUCCACGCGUGUGGGCGUUAAUGUUUCCGAAAAUCUUAUAUCUCCGUCUCAAACAAAAAAAAGCCUCCUUCCAUAAGAAACAGCUCAUACGUGAAACUCUUCUCGCCUAUUAAAAAAAAGGAAAAGCAUCCCUCCCCCAAAAAAAGAGAAAACGUCUCCACUAGCUCCUGUACUUUUUUUAGGCAACCACGUCUCCUCUAUAUGGUCAGAUCUUUCAAGACUUCUUACUAAUCAGAACCACUACGUUGUAAAUUUAUAUCCAAUAAAGAAAACUUGCCGAAUCAUAGAUGGUCUCGUCCAAAAAAAAUGUCAUGUGAUACGUCCAACGUUGUCAAAAAAACAUUCUCCGUUCCUUAAAGAGAAAAGAUAGCGUCCUUAGAAAAGCACUACCAAUAAAAGGAAAAGAAAGACGGAAUCCAAUUGAUGACCGAUGAAACUCCAUAAAUAAAAUCUUCUGUCAAUCGAUUUUAAAAGAAGAAACAUCUGGCUCAGUUCCUCUACAUGGCCGCAUACUCCACUUCCUCUUCAAUCCUGCUCUCCUACAUGUGGCUGGUGGUGGCGAUUUCUCUAACCGAAGGAUAUACCCAACUCGCCAUCACCAUCAAGUGCGCUCUCCCACCAGCAGGGCCAACAACAAACUGCAAAGAAACCUGACGACAGGUGCUGCGAGGUAUGAUGCAAGAUCGACUGCGACCCCAAGCGGCAAUCGAUCUUCCUCAUUGUUAUUGUCACCGCGUCUCCUUCCAUCCACCCCGGGCAUCAAAGUUCACCCUAUUUUAUGAUAAUAAAAAAGUCCAACUACCAAGUACAACCUCUAAUAAGUUCUUCUUGGAUUCAUGCUCCGACAAGACUAUGAUCCAACUAUGAUAAUAAUGGAUUAAGGCACGGAUUGCUAACACUUAUCUGCAUAUAUAGUACGUAUGCAUGUCUUUAUUUUGGUCUUAGAAAAAAGAGAAAAUUAGCUAUUAAAGCAUCUUUAAAUACAUACAAAUUACCGAAGUAACAAGAAAAUAUGGAUGUACCAUGCGCCACGAAGAUCUAAUAGACACACGAUUAUCUAUGUGGUAUAGGUAUGUAUACAGUAUGGAUAGAAAAUAUAAAAAAAUGACAUCCGUAUUAAAAAUAUAAGAAAUUCUUUAAGAAUUUGUUUGUUGAGACUAGAACUUAAAACCGGAAUAAUCUAUGGUGCUUAUAGUAAUGAGAAUAUACUACAAACUUUUGUUUGCCAUCACACAAUGACAAUAUUAAUAAGGUUGUCACACAAUUGGAGGCAAACAAUCAAAUAACAAAAUAGUCCGAAGCAAUGUAACACUGUUGAACCUUAUGUCUAACAAAGAUAAACAUGCAUGUGUGACAACAAUAACCCAUAUCAACAUAUUAUUAUUGUCUGACAUUUCUAAUUUGUAACAACUUUGUUGUAUGCAAUAUUAAAAGUGCUAGCCCGUGCAUGUGCACGGGUUGAUGACUAGUAUAGUAUAACUCUGAGACAUGCCUAUAUAACCUCUUAUUUGCAUACGUUCUUUUAAAACAUAGCAUAGACAAACCACAUUACAUUAUAAUAAUGAAUUUGUUUUUUCUCGGUGACAGGGUAACUGUUAUUUCUAUGUCGACCAGUUGUAGCUUGAAAGAAAGUGUUAUAAAACAAUUAUGUUACUCCCUCCUCCAUAAUCUAGUGCGUAUAGAUUUUUUCUAAAAGUCAAACUUUCCAAACUUUGACCAAGUUUAUUGCAAAAACAAAUUAUAUCUACAAUAGCAAAUAUAUUUAACAUGAAACUACAUCUUAUGGUGAAUCUAAUGAUACACAUUUGUCAUUCUAGAUGUAAAUGUCUUUCUUCACAAAUUUGGUCAAACUUUGUGAGGUUUGACUUUUCAAAUAAAUUAUAUUCACUAUACUACGGAACGGGGGUAGUAUAUUUUAGGUAUAGAAGUUUUCAACACACAUUUUCACAAAUUCUAAGAUUAAAAUUGCAUAUUAUUUGUUAAAAAAUUAACUAUCUAAUUCUCGUUCAACAAAGAAUCAAUAGUCUAGGAAAAUGCGAGCACCAUUGUCAAGUCUAGGACAUGAAGCCUGAAGGGCUGCGGAUACCAUUGUCCUCCUUACCAUUCAACCAGAGGUUGGUUCACGUUGGCUCUCACAUGUUGACGGUCGUGUGCAUCGGUAUGAAGUUUUAUUUCGGACAAAUUUCCUAUGACAGGCCGGCUACUAGAAUUAUCGUUACCCUAGAAAAUGUUGCCAUGGUUCAAAUAAAUCAAAUUCAAAUAAUCCAAAUUUCAAGUAAGAUAUAGAUGAUAUUAUUGACACAAAGAUGGUCAUGGCCUCUUGGCUACACAUGAUUGUUUGCUAGAGAGGGUCGAGGAAUUGAAUUCCGUUUUCCCACCAAUUUUUUUGCGAUGUUACUUUGGCUGCCCAUCGGAUCUUCGCGCUUGAAAAGACUGCAUCCAUAGAGGUAAUGGGAGAGAUAAAUAACUUCAAAACAUCAGAAGAACACAAUGACAACAACAGAAUUUCAGGAGCCAUUUUAAAGAUAUGUUCCACAGGGAGGGACCGAUGGCAUCAUUUUUAGCCUUUGAAGCAAAAAAGACGGAUGACCCCAAACAAGUCUCCAAUUAUCCUAGAAAAAUAAAGAAUUUAUUCAAAACCAUGCAUAUUAAUAUAUCAACAGACAAAAUCAGAGUAAAAUCAAUGCCAUGAUAACUUUAUUAUUAUUAAGAGUACAAUUAAUUUCACAUCAACAUAUUUUCUUAGAAAAAAACAAACAUUAUAUAGUCGAGAAACAUCACAUCUGGUGCUACCAAGGCAGUGUUCAAUUUAACCAGCAUGCCCAGUUCACUGUUUCCAUUGACCAGAGCCCCCACUCCACGCAUAUCGACAAGCUCGGAGUCGCACUCAUCGACAUAAUCAUAUGCCAUAUCCACACAACUGGCGAGCUCAUUGGACCGUAGCCCGUCCUCGUCGCCUUGGUAAUCCUUGAUCAUGGGAUCACAUAUGUUGAGGACGCUCAACACAGAGUCAUAUAAUCCACCUCACACAAACUAAGGUCAACUCCACCGUGUGACUUCAAAUGGACGUCCGUUUUACCCGGAUUCUGUCCGUUUGGAUAGGGCAAUGGGGUCGCGUCCGGGCGGGAUGCGCUGGCCGUUCGCCCAACACGCGGACGCAUCCCGGCCGCAUCUUGUCCGCAUAGAUUUUUCUUUGUAAGCCCUUAACUUUUUUUCAUCAUUCAUUUUUGAUACAUGGAAUACAUCACCAAAUUUUGAAUAGAAAAAUAAGACCAAAAAAAUAAGAACCACAAAAAUACAUUUUAGAAGAUAUUUAACUUCCAUAACUGCUCCUGUAAGUUGGAUUAGUGCCUUCUCGAUGCAUUCAUUGUUUAUCUGCAGAGGAGGCUCGAUCUUGCGUGCUUCUUUCUUCUUCGAGUCUAAAGAAGUAGAGGUUGCUUUCUCGCAUCUAGUCUCAUGUCUAGCCUCUAAUCUAGCAACAAGUGCACUAGUCUCAUCUCUAGCCUCUAUGCUAGCUAAAAGUGCACGAACAUCUAAUAAAUUGCGCUCUAACAAUAUAUCGAUGUACUCUUCUUCCCAAUACCAAAACUUGCAUCCAUGCUACACAAUAAAAUUUUAAGUUAGCACGCAACUAGUCAAAUCUAAGAGCACAACCGAACCUAAAAAGAGCACAUACCCCAUCAUUUAAGCAUUUGAUGAACACCCAUCCUGAAUGUUCCGGCGUUGUAGACAUGCGGCCAACGACCUUCUUUGGGCGGUGGUCGCACUUAAUUAGUGGCAACGGUGCACCGACGAGCUUUUUGGCUAGCACCGAGCCCGGCCGAGCGUCAUAAGUGUAUCUGACGGCAGACCACCAACGGUGUAGAUCCGAGUGGCUAGAGGAGGAGCCACUGCCUGCAUGCGGCCUUGCGGCCCUGCCAGGGCCUUCCGGCCCAGUGCCCAGCCAGUCCAUGGCGCGGCGCGGCCUCCCACAGCCGGGCGAGCUCGAGGCUGACCGGAUCUGCCCCAAAUCCGGCCGGCGGGUGCGCAAAUCAGGUGGCCGUGAUUGGGUAGCUCGGGGGCGCCGAGGGGAAGGGGUUGGGCGAGCGCGCGUCCAAGCUGCACAGCUACAAUGGCAGCGGCGGCGGCGAGGGGAAGAGUGGGGAAAAGUGGAGAAGAGUGGAGGGGGUGCGGCUGGAGGAAGGGAGGGGGGCAGAUAGAAAAAGGUGUCCUUGUGCCAUCAACGGGCGGGCCAGGGAAGGACACGCGCAGACGCCCCGCCCGUCCGCGUGCUGUCCCUUUCACCCCAAAAGCGGCGCAAAUAUGGGCCGGGGAUGGGUCGAAAGCGGACAGAAAACGGAUAAAAAUUUUGCGUCCGCGGUUGGGCCGUCUGGUUCGUCCGUUUUAUCUCAAACGGACGCAUGCGGACAGGAGGGGGGCGCGUGGUGGAGUUAGCAUAAGGACACGCAUUGGCACCGUGCCUUCUUGCUUCAUGUGUUUGUUGUCUUCGCACAGGAGCUCUAGCACAGACGUUCUUAGGGUCAACCUCUGUCAACACAUGGGGUGGCCUGUUCGGCACGCCUGUGUAAAAAAUCAUGACACAGGCAUGAGGUAAUAGUUAGGGGUCUACUCCCUAAUAGUAUAUAGGACAAAGAUCAAUGGAACGCUCAUUGUUGUGGGCAGCGAGUUGCCAGAAACAUUUCUUCCUGCUCUGCUCUGCUCGCUCCUCCUCCAGGCGACAGACUCCUCUUCCCGGGAACGCACCCACAGUCGCCGGUGAAAGAUCCGAUAACAAGCGUGACAUCAUAUUCCACCAUGGCGUGGGUGCCGAGCAUAGUGCCCAUCGCAAGGCUAGCCUUCACCGCGCUCGUCGGCGUCGCCAACGCCGUGCUCAAUGCCAGCAUGAUGGCUGCCGCGUUUCACAUUCACCGUGCUGCCUUCCAGGUGUUUGAUUAAAUGAGCGAACCAAAUAUAUGUUAUAGGGAAUUAAAUUAUAGUUGUUCUUCUUUUUUAGCCCUAACAGUAGAACAAUCGUUAUACAAUAUUUUCAUUAAUAAAGAAAAGUUACAAAAUACAAAUAUUAACAAUGUAUAGACCUCUCAGCCUAUCCCUGUUCUAGGAAUUGGAAGUCAUGCCAUUAUAAAACCAAGUCAGACCAUUGUUUUAUCUUGCUUGCCUUUUCUUCUUUUGCCCGGAGUUGAACAGCCCAUAGUCCUUCCUCCAAAUAAAAUUUCCAUGUAUCUGUACUAGAAGGUGCUGAUUUGAAGAUGUUAUCAUUUCUCACUGACCAGAUGCUCCAACAACUCAUAAUGAUGAUGUCAAGUGCAAAGUCUUUAGGUAACUGAUUGGCAAUGAGAAGGAAUUCAUCAAAAGUAGAGAUGCCUCUGGUUCUUCCUAGUGCUAUAAUAUCCCAACAUGAGAGUGCAAAUGGGCAAUUCCAGAACAAAUGGAUCAAAGUUUCAUCCACAGCAUCACACUACUAAGGAAAACUUUAUACACAGAGAUAUAGAAGUAGCGCUGGACAAAAUGAAGCGCUACUGCUACUUAGUAGUAGCGCGUUGCGGUAAAAGGCGCUACUGCUAUCCUUUUAGCAGUAGCGCGUGUUAGCAAAACGCGUUGCUGCUAAGUUUGAACUGGGCGCACAUGGCUGGCCCCACUUAGCAGCAGUGCGUUAUGCAUACCUAGUGCUACUGCUAUGCUCCAUACUAGUAGUGUUUUUCAUGAACCCGCGCUACUACUAACCCUACCUUAUCGUUCCCGCGUGGCCGACCCUCUCCCUCUCCCUCUCAGUCACUCUCCCCAGCACCCCCCCCUCAUUGUCCGCCACCGCCGCCGUUCCCCAGCCACCGUCGUCGCCGCCGGCACGGACGCUCCUACUCCUCCAAUGAGGUAGCCCCUCCAUCCCUCCUCCUCCCUCCUCCCAUCCCUCCUCCUCCCUCCGCGCCCUCCUCCCUCCGCGCCCUCCUCCCUCCUCCUNNNNNNNNNNNNNNNNNNNNNNNNNNNNNNNNNNNNNNNNNNNNNNNNNNNNNNNNNNNNNNNNNNNNNNNNNNNNNNNNNNNNNNNNNNNNNNNNNNNNNNNNNNNNNNNNNNNNNNNNNNNNNNNNNNNNNNNNNNNNNNNNNNNNNNNNNNNNNNNNNNNNNNNNNNNNNNNNNNNNNNNNNNNNNNNNNNNNNNNNNNNNNNNNNNNNNNNNNNNNNNNNNNNNNNNNNNNNNNNNNNNNNNNNNNNNNNNNNNNNNNNNNNNNNNNNNNNNNNNNNNNNNNNNNNNNNNNNNNNNNNNNNNNNNNNNNNNNNNNNNNNNNNNNNNNNNNNNNNNNNNNNNNNNNNNNNNNNNNNNNNNNNNNNNNNNNNNNNNNNNNNNNNNNNNNNNNNNNNNNNNNNNNNNNNNNNNNNNNNNNNNNNNNNNNNNNNNNNNNNNNNNNNNNNNNNNNNNNNNNNNNNNNNNNNUCUGAUCCCACCGCCCUCCUCCUCCUCCUCCCUCCUCCCUCCUCUCUCCUCCCUCCUCCCUCCAUCUAUUUUUUUUUCUGUUUUUUACUGUAGUUUUUUUUACUAUUGUAUGUAUAGAUAUAUUGAUACAUGUUUUAGAUAACCUUGCAUUAAUAUGUCUAACUUCCAUUUCUGUUCUCUUCUCUCGUUCUACAGAUUUCAUAUUUGUAUUCAUUUUAAGAAUUCUUCAAGAUGCACAUAAUUUAGUCUCUGGUUACAAUCUAAAUGUAAGAAAGCACAUGAUCUGUAGAAGGUGCAACCAAUGUGUUAUCCAUGUGAUAAAAUUAAACUCAACAUGCUAGAUCAAAUAUCCAAGUCAACUAGAAAAGAGAUUUCCUUACAACUAUUGUCAAGCCGCAUUUUCAAAUCACAGACAGUUUUAAGCAAUGAAUGAUCUAAAAAAAUCAUCCUACCUGCCACCGUUUUUCUCUUUGGAUGUCCACAUAUUGUUUUUUUUUCAUGGUGAGCGUUUGUGCCAAUAGAUAAACUAACGAGUUUUUCAUCUUGUGGUCGAAUCAAAGAUAUUCGAUUCUGUGUUUUUCAUGAUCUUGCUUGUACGUACGACCAUGAAACUACUAUUGUUAUCAUGUAUGAAUACUUGCAAAAGGGUGCUUCAGCGCCAGCACCGACCAUGGAUGGACAUGAGUAUGCAUGGAUGCGUGCAUGUAACGACCUGUUGGCUCCUGCAGGUCAAAGUACAUGGUUCUCUUAGGUCUUUGCACCAUCAAGGCCUUGAACAGUUCCUUGAUGAGUGUCAAGGUGAGACUUCAUGUCUCUAUGGUGAACAGACAAACUUCAGCGGAUAUGUUGCUGUCAUGGCACGGCAAAGAACAGAACAAUAGAUGGACUCUUGCCACUAGUAGUAUUGAUCCACGCUUGACACAUGACUACUCAUGGAGAAGACCCAUUCCUUUAUAACAUUUCCCUUUUAUUCAGUCUGUUUUGGUGAAUCAGCUGUCAGAAGAACUUCUUCUUCUUGUUCUUCUAUUAAAAAUAGGUUUUUAACCCAAAUUAAAGUUAGAUUUCACAAGGAGUGAACCAGUGGCAUUGUUGUAUCCCCUUGAAGCAGAGAAGACAAGUGAGCGACAAUCAUAUUUCCAAUUAUCCAGCUGGUCUUUUACAAGUACUAGAAGAACGCCCGUGUGUUGCAAAGGGGUCACAUUACCUUUAAGAGUUCAAUAUUAAUAUUCUCAUACAUAUCAAGUGACAUUGGCGACUUUUUUUACCAUCAAAUCCUCACACACACACACUCUCUCCCUCCCUCUUCCUCACUCUCUCCCCCCCCCCCUCUCCCUCUAUCUCUCUCUAACNNNNNNNNNNNNNNNNNNNNNNNNNNNNNNNNNNNNNNNNNNNNNNNNNNNNNNNNNNNNNNNNNNNNNNNNNNNNNNNNNNNNNNNNNNNNNNNNNNNNNNNNNNNNNNNNNNNNNNNNNNNNNNNNNNNNNNNNNNNNNNNNNNNNNNNNNNNNNNNNNNNNNNNNNNNNNNNCACAUACACACACACAUAUUCAUCUUAUUGGGUACGGGACCAUAAUCCAUCUAUUUCACACACACACACACACGAUAGUGCAUAACUAUAUGGAUGUGUAUUAUAUUUGCCAUCACAACUGAGGGAAUUAAUUUCAUGUAAAUCGACCAGCCACAGCUCCAAGAAUACGCGGAGGAGGUGGCCCGGGUCGGCAUCGGCGGAUGUCCGGCACGGGCCACGGGCCCGCUUCCAUGCGCGUCUGUGCGCCGGCCACCCACGCCGGGUCCUUCAAGUGCCGCUUCCACCGCACCAAUUCCUAGGGCCACGGCCACGACCACGGACAGGGAAGCCGCCCUUCUUUGCCCCCUUCACCGGCCGCGGCGAACGCGGUGCCGCGGCAUCCGACCUCGCCGUCCUCGUCCUCCGGCACCGCCGCGAUCCAGUGACGCAGCCCAAUCAUCGGCCUCGAGAAUCAAGAACGCUCGACAACGCAGAGGGAAGGGAAGAUCAUUACAUGUCAUAAGAAAGGGAGUUUAUUUACUGCUCCCUCGAUGUAUUGUUUCCUUUGUUUGGAGAUUGAUUACCAUCCGUGAGUUAAGGUAAGGUUAAUGUGAUUGAGCGAUUUUUCUGAAAAUCAAAUAUUUGUUUUCUAAUUAAUGUGAUUGAGUGAUUUAAGGUAAGGUUAAUUAAUUUAGAUUUGAUCUUUAGAGAUUGUUCGUGAUUGAUUCUACAUUACUAAAUAACUUGCGUCAGUAUGGAAAGUUCUGAUCUGUUUAGAUUUCUUUCGUUGUGUGAGAGGGUGACGCGAAAAUAAACCGAUGAAGUGGGGGGGGACGAAAAAAAAUCUAUGAAAAAAAUCAGCGAAGGUGGGAGGAGGUACCAAAAAAACCAUGAAAGGUGGGACGAAAAAAACCUGAAAGCGAGACUACCAACUGCUCCAUUAGGAGUAGAGAUCCCUUCUUGAAUACUCGGUUCAAUAAAUAAGUUAUUCACACUUCACAGCCAUCCAUGUGCAUAUAUAGUAAGUUAAUAACACAAAACCCGAGUAAAUUUAUGCCACAAAAAGGUUCAGUAUUAUUAUUUCAAAUAACUGAUGCAACAACAAAUAAUAUUAAUCGCGGACAUCAUAUGAUAUUAGCAAGGCGUUGUUGAGGAUGAGAAGCAUGUACAACUCCUCGUUUUCUUUGAUGAGCACCUCCGCACCAGGCAUAUCUGGAAGCUCUAACCAACACACGACGAUAGGGUUGUAAUUCAUAUCCACAAAGUCGGGCAGAUGCAAGAACUGCUGCCCACUCUUGUCACCUUGGUAGUCCUUGAUCAGGCCGUGGCACACGUUGAGGCGUCUCACCACAUCUUCAUACUCCACCUCACAAUAACUGAGAACGUGCAUUGCCACUGUUCCCUUCUUGGCAUCUUGAAGCUUUUGCUUGACCUUACCACUAGCGGCAGUGAUACAGCUCUUAAAGAUGUCGACAGUGACGAGCACUAAGUCACGGAGGUCCUUAGCCUCGGCACUUCAAUUGUCCGACUGAAGGGUGGACAAACAGAAUUCUUGCGUGACAGAUUCGUUGUAGGGGUUGUUGAUCAAGGCCUUCUUGCAUGCUUCCACCAUGAGCUUGGUCGC